rnacentral:misc_RNA from 1 species
CCUUUACCCACACCUGGGAACUACGAGCAAAAGCUUGAAACCUAAAGGACUUGACGGUGCCCCAAACCCACCUAGAGGAGCCUGUUCUAUAACCGACACCACCCGAUAAACCUCACCACCACUAGCCAUACCCAGCCCGUAUACCUCCGUCGUCAGCUUAUCACUCAAGUGAAUUUUAAUAAGCCAAAUGGUCCCCACCAAUACGUCAGGUCAAGGUGCAGCAUAUGUCGUGGGCAGAAAUGGGCUACACUCCCUCACAACCAGGAAAAACAAAAGACCUAGAGAAACCAAAGUCAAAAGGCGGAUUUAGUAGUAAAAAGAAAACAGAGUGUUCUUUUUAACUCGGCCCUGGGACACGUACAGACCGCCCGUCACCCUCUCCGCCCCACAUAACUACCAAUAUAUAAGAUCAACCCCCCCCAAGAAGAGAUAAGUCGUAACAAGGUAGGCAUACCGGAAGAUGUGCCUGGAACAACAAAAUGUAGCUUAAACCAAAGCACCUCGCUUACACCGAAUAAAUAUCUAUUAAACCCAGAUCAUUUUGAGCCUAACCCCUAGCCCAACCCUAAUUUUCAAAACACGUCCACCAAACACUAAAACAUUCUAACCACUAUAGUAGAGGCGAUCAAAACACUCUUUGGAGCUAUAUAGCUAGUACCGCAAGGGAAAGAUGAAAUAACAAUGAAAAACCAAGCAUAAAACAGCAGAGACUAAAACUCG